rnacentral:rRNA from 1 species
GGCUCAGAACGAACGCUGGCGGCGUGGAUAAGACAUGCAAGUCGAGCGCUGGUUACGGGGUAGCAAUAUUCCGUAAUCGGAGCGGCGCACGGGUGCGUAACACGUGGGUAAUCUGCCAUGAAGUUUGGGAUAACUUGCUGAAAGGCGAGCUAAUACCGGAUGUGAAAACUGGGAGGCAUCUCCUGAGUUUCAAAGCUGGGGAUCGUAAGACCUGGCGCUUCAUGAUGAGCCCGCGGCCUAUCAUCGGUAGUUGGCGGGGUAACGGCCCACCAAGCCUGAGACGGGUAGCUGGUCUGAGAGGACGACCAGCCACACUGGAACUGAGACACGGUCCAGACACCUACGGGUGGCAGCAGUCGAGAAUUUUUCACAAUGGGCGCAAGCCUGAUGGAGCGACGCCGCGUGGGGGAUGAAUGGCUUCGGCCCGUAAACCCCUGUCAUUUGCGAUCAACCGUUAUUGUUUAAGAGAUGAUAACCUGAUAGUAGCGAAAGAGGAAGGGACGGCUAACUCUGUGCCAGCAGCCGCGGUAAUACAGAGGUCCCGAGCGUUGUUCGGAUUCACUGGGCGUAAAGGGUGCGUAGGUGGCGAAGUAAGUCGGAUGUGAAAUCUCCGAGCUCAACUCGGAAACUGCAUUGGAAACUACUUUGCUCGAGGAUUGGAGGGGGGACUGGAAUACUUGGUGUAGCAGUGAAAUGCGUAGAUAUCAAGUGGAACACCAGUGGCGAAGGCGAGUCCCUGGACAAUUCCUGACACUGAGGCACGAAAGCUAGGGGAGCAAACAGGAUUAGAUACCCUGGUAGUCCUAGCCGUAAACGGUGCACGUUUGCUGUAAAAGGAAUCGACCCCUUUUGUGGCGUAGCCAACGCGUUAAACGUGCCGCCUGGGAAGUACGGUCGCAAGAU